UUCUAUGGCUAUGCCAGCCUGAAUGCGUCCCAUCUCAUGUGAUCUCAUAAUCUAAGCAGGGUCGGGCCUGGUUAGUACUUAAAUGGGAGAUGAAAAGAGAACCAAUCUGUAGGACACUGCAGAAC
rnacentral:rRNA from 1 species